GGGCACGUGGAGAACUAGGCGCACUUGUUAAACAUAGCGGCAGCACCCGGGAGUAAAGUGAGAGUAAUCCCGCGCGUCCAGAUGUGCUCUUCCCAGCGCGGCUGUCACCAUCAACGGCAGAACGACAGCGGAGGAGAGACCAGCUGUUGAGAUGAAGUGAAGAGUGACGAGUCAGCACCUUGGAGUAGCAACACCCUACACAUCCCAGGACGCUUUGGACUUACGCACGCACACACACACACAUUAACACAUACACACACACCCCCCCCACAUUAACACACACACACACACCCCACAUAUCAACACACAUUCUACAAUCUACAAGGACCUGAAACAGAUUCCCUAUCAGGUUGAACCCAUCUUGACGUGAGGGAUGAAGAGGGAUGUGCAUUUUCUCCCCCAACCCUGACAUCGUCCCCCCCUCGCCUUCACCGCAGCCUCCCCCCGCCUCACCCGGCCUCCCCCAGCCUCACUCAUUCUCCUUCGCUCUCUCUCAUGGGAGUAACAUAGGAACCGGCACUUCAUCGAAUGCCCCUCCCCCUCCUUGCGUUUCCGUGGUGACGGAAGCGCUAAGGAAGUGAUGUCGUGGAAGAGGAACUACUUUGCGUCGGGCGGAGGAGCAGGAGGGGUGCAGGGGCUGAUGAGCCCACGAAACAUGACCUCCAUCGCUCCCAGUAAAGGCCUGAGCAACGAACCUGGGCAGAACAGCUGCUUCCUCAACAGUGCUCUGCAGGUCCUGUGGCAUCUUGAUAUUUUUCGCAGAAGUUUCCGGCAACUAACCACACAUAAGUGCAUGGAGGACUCCUGCAUCUUCUGUGCUUUAAAGAGCAUCUUUGCCCAGUUCCAAUUCAGCAGUGAGCGUGUGUUACCGUCGGACGCACUAAGGAGCGCUCUGGCCAAGACCUUCCAGGAUGAGCAGAGAUUCCAGCUUGGAAUCAUGGAUGAUGCUGCUGAGUGCUUCGAAAACCUCCUGAUGCGUCUUCACUUCCACAUCAGUGCAGAGAGCAGAGAGGACAUCUGCACUGCCAAACACUGCAUACCCCACCAGAAGUUUGCCAUGACGCUGUUUGAGCAGUGUGUGUGCAACAGCUGCGGAGCAUCAUCAGACCCUCUGCCCUUCAUUCAGAUGGUGCACUAUAUCUCCACGACGUCCCUCUGCAGUAACCAGGCGGUCAGGAUGCUGGAGUGCAGGGAUAAACCCACACCAGAUAUGUUUGGGGAACUGCUUCGCAACGCCAGCAACAUGGGAGACCUACGGAACUGUCCUAGUAACUGUGGGGAGGUGCUGCGUAUCCGCCGUGUGCUGAUGAACUCUCCGGAGAUCGUGAGCAUCGGCCUGGUGUGGGACUCUGACCACUCUGACCUGGCCGAGGACGUCAUCCACAGCCUGGGAACCUGCCUGCGCCUGGGGGAUCUGUUCUACCGUGUGACGGAGGAGCGGGCGCGCCAGGCGGAGCUCUACCUGGUGGGCAUGGUGUGCUACUACGGCAAACACUACUCCACCUUCUUCUUCCAGACCAAGAUACGCAAGUGGAUGUACUUUGACGACGCACACGUCAAAGAGAUCGGUCCUAAGUGGAAGGACGUGGUUUCUCGCUGUAUAAAAGGUCACUACCAGCCUCUGCUGCUGCUGUAUGCUGACCCCCGGGGGACGCCGGUGGUAUGGCAGGACAGCCCCUCCAACCCCCACCUGGACCUGCAGCACUGCAGCCGAGGCUACGACAGCGAGGACUCUGGCAGGGAGCCGUCCAUCUCCAGUGACACCAGGACAGACUCAUCCACAGACAGUUCCAGCCACCGCACCAGCCGCACCCGAGCCCUGCACCAGUCCACAGGCAGCCACCUCUCAAACGAAUCCCAGAGCACCGUGGUGUGUAGCCACGACAACACCACCCCCUCACACAGCGCUGACGCCACAGAGUUACUAGUGGAGGGUCCACUGCGCCCCCCCACCCCCCUCUCCUGCAAGAGUACAAGGAGACAGCGGUGUUCCUCCUCUCCUCCCCGCCGCCCCCUCUCCUCCUCCACCUCCUCCUCUCGCCCCUUCUCCUCCUCCACCUCCUCCUCUCGCCCCUUCUCCUCCUCCACCUCCUCCUCUCGCCCCCUCUCCUCCUCCUCCUCGGGCAUCGGGGGGUGUGAGGGAGUUCUGGCAGGACCUCACUGGGAGGACGAGAGCACAAGCAGUGAGAGCAAGUCCAGCUCCUCCGGGGGCCGGUGUUACCGGCCAGCGUGGAGACCCAGGAGGGAGGCCCUGAACAUUGACAGCAUCUUCACCCACCAGAGGGGCUCUCCUCUGGGCUACAGCACCAUGCCUCCGCCCCCUCCACCCCAGGACCCCGGGACCCUGCCCACAGCCCCCAACCUGCAGGAGGCAACAGAAGGGGCGGGGCUGGAGGCGGGGGAAGUUGUGGUUGAGGGGGGGGCGCUGGCAUUGCUUGGCAACGGGACAGUGAGGCCCCCGCCCCCUCCUCCCCCCCCGCCUCCCCUGAGAGGGGUGGAGCAUCAGCCCCCUCUGAUUCAGCGGAUGGAGAGCGGCUACGAGAGCAGUGAGAGGAACAGCAGCAGCCCGGACAGAGAGUUGGGACAGAAGAGAGUAUUGAUGUCAGGCCCAUCAUGGAGAUCUGUGCCCAAGUCCAAGAGCAGCGGUGCUAUCUUGCAAGAACUGCCAUCACCCAACUGGGGUAGCAGAGCCCAACCAGGCUCCAGCCGCAGUGAGCUGGACGAGCUGCAGGAGGAGGUGGCGAGGAGGGCUCGUCAGCAGGAACAGCAGAGGCUGAGGGAGGCUGAGAGGGAGGUGGCCAUGGGCUUCAACCCCAAACCCAGCAAGUACAUGGACCUGGACCAGCUCCAACACCAGGCUGUGCUCAGACCCCUGCAUGAGGCUAACACUCAUAGCGGAUUGGCUGUAGCUGCGUGCAUGAGGAGCACGGGUGGCCCAAUCAAACGCAGGCAGGAACAGGAAAUGGAACGGGAGACAGGAAGGACCCGCCCACAGGGGCCUCGCAGUGAACAGCCUGGCUCGGUCCAAGUAUUGCUGACGCCCAAUCAGGAGGAAGAGGAGGACCAGGCAGCCAACCAGGAAGCUGCUCUGGGCCCCAGACCCCGUCCUCCACCCUACCAACCCCCCCCUCCCCACCUCCCCUUCACUCCCGCCAGCGGCCCCGCUUCCUGGGGUGAGGAGGAGGGAGAUGGCCUUCUCUUGGGUGCGGGGGAGAGCGGGAGGGGUGAGGAUGGGGAAGGUGGAGUGGAGGAGAGGACGAGUGAGGGAGGAGAAGCGGGGAUAAGGCUGUGUGAGUGGCUGCAGGUAGGCGGGGUGAGUGUACGACCCCUGGGGAAACAUCUGGCCAUCUCCCUGCCCUCAUUACCACUACGUCUCUGGGACACACAUACGCUGUCUGAGCCCCAGGAAACACACGGUCAGCCCUCACACACAGGGAAACCACCGGGAACACACUCAGAGUGUUCACACACCCACACCACACCCCCUCCUCCCCCCCCCCUCCCCCGGCCGCCCUGCUCCCCUGCCCCGCGCCAUUGGCCCAGCCGGAGAGCGGCCACUCACACCGCCACGUGUCAUUGGUCCUCCUGGAGCCUGGACCGGCCGGAUGCAGUGGUAGCCCUGUACGACACACCUCCUGACCGCUCUGCUCUCACCAUGCCUAGCGCCUCAACCCCGAACUACAACUCCCAGGAUUCCCCACGGCAGCUCCAGGAGCCCUGUGGUUCUGAGAAGGCAGAGCUGUCUGAGCUGGACUCGCUGUACCAGGCUAGCUUACGAGCAGGAAGAACAGUGUGUAGUCCAGCAGAGCGCCUCCUGCAACGCCAAGCAUCCCAGGCUCGCUCUCAGACCCCCAACGCUGAUGUGGAGAGGAGGGUGUACACCACCAACCGUACCAGCACCUGCUACAGCCGGCCAAUGACGAUGCACGGUCAGUGUUUGGGGGCGGAGUCGAAUGAUAAUAAUCUGCGUCAGAUUAGUCGCAGUUCAAGCGGCACUAUUGUCAGCGGCCACCGCAACCGCCUGACGGCUACACGCAGCUUCGUAAAUAGAUACCUUGCCUAGUUGCUCUCAUCUGAGUGCUUGUCACCGCCAUGAUCAUCAUCAUUAUCCUCAUCUUCUUCCUCGUCACCUUCAUCAUCCUCAUCAUGUACUCUUCAUCAGGAGCUGUCCAAUGGCGCGGGGAGUUUCUGGCUGUGUCUGACAGGGGUCAAGCUCUCCUCGGACUAGAGGCACGGUCUCCUGCACCUGCACUAUCCUCAAGGGAAGCUGCCCCCGCCACGCCCUACCCCGCCCCGCCCCUCCCCUACACAAACACACAUACCCAGUUAUACAAAUACAGUCCACUAUUAUAUGUAGCCCCUCACCUACCUCUCCUGCCUCCCUGUUCUUCCAGCCCUGUCCUCUACUUUGUCUAUGCAGUCCUUCUCACCCUGAUGCUGGGGCCCACGCAACAACAUCAGAAUCUUCUCACCCUGGACUGUCCACCCCCCUCAGGCUCCUUUACUGCACAGGGUGGGGAGGUGAGCUAGCCUAGCCUGAAGCUAACCCUCUAACUAGUCCUAUCUAAACGGGUCGGUAGGUGAGCUAGCUUAGCUGGUAGCUAACCCUCUUAACUAGUCUGGUCUUACUUUUAUGGGUGGAUAGGUGAGCUAACCUAGCCUCUACGCUAGCUAACCCUCUAACUCGUCUGAUCCUAUCUUAACAGGUUGGUAUGUGAGCUAGCUUAGCCUCUAUGCUAGCUAAUCUUCUAACUAGUAUGGUUUUACCUUAAUGGGUGGAUAGGUUAUCUGGCCUUUAUGCUAGCUAACCCUCUACCCACUGUAUUCUGGAUCCACCUGCACUGACCCACUGGCAGAUCCUCUGGGGUGUAAUAUAGGGCCUCAUUGUUUAGCCACGCAUCUUCCUCUCUCUUCAAUGGGCAUUUCCUGCAGGACGCACACCCCUCGGACCGUGAGGUUUCCAUGGUAUCCAGAAAGAGGACGUCCUAGCCGACAGACAAACUGCCAUGCUAAUCUGUGCUUGUUCGUACACAGUUGCGAACCCCACACCUGGGCCUGAACUGUAGAAUAACUAAACAUCAUGUUCAGAAACUCGUAUGAAACCUGUAUGUUAACUGAAGACCUUAUGGAAUGUUCAUAACCAUAAUAACGAUGAUAUCUGAAUAACUUAAGUGGUACUUGUUCUUCUUCUUAAACCUCAUGUCUGCAUCAUGAAGAGGGGGAUGCACUUUACAAGUGUCAAGCUAGACUUCCACCUGCUGCCCACCCUAAUGACAGCUCUCCCUGUUUCUGCCGGGAGAUUCGACGAGGCAAAGACAAAGCGCUUCCGUUUCUCUCCGCUCUCCUUUCCUUCUCGUUUCCUUUACACAGCCAGCGGCAGGACUGACAGCUCACUGGAGCGGUAGAGAGAGAUGAUGACCACAGGCCAAGUUUACAGUGUGAUGUGUACGUUGAGAAUGACUCUAAGGGACAUUGAGUAUUUAUUGAAGUGUACUUGGUGAAAGAGAGGGGGGCGGCUGGUUUCAACUUCAUAUAAUCUGCUUUAUUUGUGGCCUCAGGUUAACUUUAAUUGGAACCUAACUGACAGACUUUUUCUCCCUCCCGCCCUCUCCAACCCCGCUCUUCCUCCGAUGUGAAUAAAACCUUUUUAACUACA